rnacentral:rRNA from 1 species
GACAGAGGGUGCAAACGUUGUUCGGAAUUACUGGGCGUAAAGAGUGUGUAGGCGGUGCUCUAAGUCUGUCGUGAAAUCUCCCGGCUUAACCGGGAGGCUGCGGCGGAAACUGGUGUGCUAGAGGGUGGGAGAGGUAAGCGGAAUUCCUGGUGUAGCGGUGAAAUGCGUAGAUAUCAGGAGGAACACCUGCGGUGUAGACAGCUUACUGGACCACUUCUGACGCUGAGACACGAAAGCGUGAGUAGCAAACAGG